AAGAAGCGAAGCGGUGACGUGGAGCAAACCUCAGAAAGCCAAUCUCAGUUCGGAUUGUAGGCUGCAACUCGCCUACAUGAAGUUGGAAUCGCUAGUAAUCGCGAAUCAGAAUGUCGCGGUGAAUACGUUCCCGGGUCUUGUACACACCGCCCGUCACACCACGAGAGUUUACAACACCCGAAGUCAGUGGCCUAACCGCAAGGAGGGAGCUGCCUAAGGUGGGGUAGAUGAUUGGGGUGAAGUCGUAACAAGGUAGC
rnacentral:rRNA from 1 species